rnacentral:rRNA from 1 species
AUGGAGGAUCACGGAGAGGAAGAGGUUGGUGGCUGGGAUCACUUUGGCCCGGAUCAGUACCUGGAGGACGCGUUUGAAGGUCUAAAGCUGCAUGGAGAGGAAGAAGAGGAUUUGGAUCUCUCGGGGGAGGUUGAGGAAUUGAUUGGGGACGUGAGAUGGCUUGCCUUGUUUAGGGUUCAUACCUUGAGGCCCUUUAGCCACUCGGCGCUCUUGAACGCAAUGAGGAACAUGUGGGCAUGUGCGCAAGGCGUUACCUUCAACAUUAAAGGACCAAACCUGUUUUUGGCGCAAUGUCACUGCUUGGGGGAUUGGAAGCGAGUAAUGGAGGGAGGCCCUUGGCAAUUUCGUAGAGACCCGGUUGUUUUGGUUGAGUAUGACGGAUUCACGAAUGUGGCUGAAUACUCCCUGAACAUGUAUCCGCUAUGGGCAAGAAUUAAGGGCUGCCGGAUGGACUUACGAGGAAGAAGGAAUUAG